rnacentral:rRNA from 1 species
UGGUCAAAGUCUCCAUGGAUAACUGUGUGAAAACAGAGCUAAUACAUGCGAAGAAGACGAGGUUUGGAAGGGCCUUGUUUGUAUUUAUUAGUUACCGAACCAGCGGCAGCAAUGUCGGACGAUCCGUUGGUGAUUCAUAGUAACUAUACGAAGCGCACUUUAUCAAUUCCGUAACAGGAAGAGAUGGCGCUAGUUCAUUCAAAUUUCUGCCCGAUCAACUUUCGAUUGCUGUGUAGUGGACAGCAAUGGUGAUAACCGGUGACGGGGAAUUAGGGUUCUAUACCGGAGAGGGAGCCUGAGAGACGGCUACCACUUCUACGGGAGGCAGCAGGCGCGCAAAUUACCCAAUCCCGAUUCGGGGAGGUAGUGACAAUAAAUAUCGAUGGCGAGCGUUCGAACGUUUGCCAAUUGGAAUGAGAGUAAUGUAAAUGCCUUGACGAGUAACAAUU